GAUGAACGCUGGCGGCGUGCCUAAUACAUGCAAGUCGAGCGAACAGACGAGGAGCUUGCUCCUCUGACGUUAGCGGCGGACGGGUGAGUAACACGUGGAUAACCUACCUAUAAGACUGGGAUAACUUCGGGAAACCGGAGCUAAUACCGGAUAGUAUAUUGAACCGCAUGGUUCAAUAGUGAAAGACGGUUUUGCUGUCACUUAUAGAUGGAUCCGCGCCGCAUUAGCUAGUUGGUAAGGUAACGGCUUACCAAGGCAACGAUGCGUAGCCGACCUGAGAGGGUGAUCGGCCACACUGGAACUGAGACACGGUCCAGACUCCUACGGGAGGCAGCAGUAGGGAAUCUUCCGCAAUGGGCGAAAGCCUGACGGAGCAACGCCGCGUGGGUGAUGAAGGUCUUCGGAUCGUAAAACUCUGUUAUUAGGGAAGAACAAAUGUGUAAGUAACUAUGCACGUCUUGAUGGUACCUAAUCAGAAAGCCACGGCUAACUACGUG
rnacentral:rRNA from 1 species